UGGCCAGCAAAGGCGGUCUAGAUGAAGC
rnacentral:piRNA from 1 species